UACGUAGGGGGGCAAGCGUUGUCCGGAUUUACUGGGCGUAAAGAGCGUGUAGGCGGCCAGGUAGGUCUGCUGUGAAAACUCGAGGCUCAACCUCGAGACGUCGGCGGAAACCAUCUGGCUAGAGUCCGGAAGAGGAGAGUGGAAUUCCUGGUGUAGCGGUGAAAUGCGCAGAUAUCAGGAAGAACACCCGUGGCGAAAGCGGCUCUCUGGGACGGUACUGACGCUGAGACGCGAAAGCGUGGGGGAGCAAACAGG
rnacentral:rRNA from 1 species